rnacentral:rRNA from 1 species
GAUUUCUGGUUCGGCGCACUUGGCCCGUCUCGGUUUACGGGAUUGCGUGCCGGUGUGCGCCAUCCAUCCUUCGAGAGAACACUUCUACCUUCACGGGCUGGAGUGCUAUCUCGAUCUUUUACUUUGAAAAAAUUAGAGUGUUUAAAGCAGGCUUUUUGCUAUGAAUACAUUAGCAUGGAAUAAUAAUUUAGGACUUUGGCCCUAUUUUGUUGGUUUCUAGGACUGAAGUAAUGAUUGAUAGGGAUAGUUGGGGGUGCUCGAAUUCAGCGGCCAGAGGUGAAAUUCUUGGAUUCGCUGAAGACGAACUCAUGCGAAAGCAUU